AGCGAACGCUGGCGGCAGGCUUAACACAUGCAAGUCGAGCGGGCCCUUCGGGGCCAGCGGCAGACGGGUGAGUAACACGUGGGAACGUACCCUUUGGUUCGGAAUAACGCUGGGAAACUAGCGCUAAUACCGGAUACGCCCUUUUGGGGAAAGGCUUGCUGCCGAAGGAUCGGCCCGCGUCUGAUUAGCUAGUUGGUGGGGUAAUGGCCUACCAAGGCGACGAUCAGUAGCUGGUCUGAGAGGAUGAUCAGCCACACUGGGACUGAGACACGGCCCAGACUCCUACGGGAGGCAGCAGUGGGGAAUAUUGGACAAUGGGCGCAAGCCUGAUCCAGCCAUGCCGCGUGAGUGAUGAAGGCCUUAGGGUUGUAAAGCUCUUUUGUCCGGGACGAUAAUGACGGUACCGGAAGAAUAAGCCUCGGCUAACUUCGU
rnacentral:rRNA from 1 species